rnacentral:rRNA from 1 species
UACGUAGGGAGCAAGCGUUGUUCGGAUUUACUGGGCGUAAAGCGCGCGUAGGCGGCGCGGUAAGUCACUUGUGAAAUCUCUGAGCUUAACUCAGAACGGCCAAGUGAUACUGCAGUGCUAGAGUGCAGAAGGGGCAAUCGGAAUUCUUGGUGUAGCGGUGAAAUGCGUAGAUAUCAAGAGGAACACCUGAGGUGAAGACGGGUUGCUGGGCUGACACUUACGCUGAGUGCGCGAAAGCCAGGGGAGCAAACGGG